rnacentral:rRNA from 1 species
GGAUAUAUAGUUAGAUGUGAAAUACCCGAGCUCAACUUGGGAGUGCAUUUAAGACUGUAUGUCUAGAGUUGUCAGAGGGGGGUAGAAUUCCAAGUGUAGCAGUGAAAUGCGUAGAGAUUGGAGGAAUACCGGUGGCGAAGGCGGCCCCUGGGAUAGAACUGACGCUCAUGCACGAAAGCGUGGGUAGCAAACAGGAUUAGAUACCCUGGUAGUCCACGCCCUAAACGAUGUCUACUUGCUGUUGGGUGUAAAAGCUUAGUAGCGAAGCUAACGCGAGAAGUAGACCGCCUGGGGAGUACGGUCGCAAGAUUAAAACUCAAAGGAAUUGACGGGGACCCGCACAAGCGGUGGAUGAUGUGGAUUAAUUCGAUGCAACGCGAAGAACCUUACCUGCUCUUGACAUGCUAGGAAGAUUUCAGAGAUGAGAUUGUGCCUUCGGGAACCUAGACACAGGUGCUGCAUGGCUGUCGUCAGCUCGUGUCGUGAGAUGUUGUCUUAAGUGACGCAACGAGCGCAACCCUUACUACUAGUUGCCCUAAUUAAGUUUGGAACUCUAGUGGGACUGCCGGUGAUAAGCCGGAGGAAGGUGGGGAUGACGUCAAGUCCUCAUGGCCCUUAUGAGCAGGGCUUCACACGUCAUACAAUGGUAGGUACAGACGGUUGCCAACCCGCGAGGGGGAGCUAAUCCGAGAAAGCCUAUCGUAGUCCGGAUUGUAGUCUGCAACUCGACUACAUGAAGUCGGAAUCGCUAGUAAUCGCAGAUCAGCAUGCUGCGGUGAAUACGUUCCCGGGUCUUGUACACACCGCCCGUCACACCAUGGGAGUGGAGGAUACCAGAAGUAGUUAGGCUAACCGAGCACUCGUGUUAGGAGGCCGAUUACCACGGUAUGUUUCAUGACUGGGGUGAAGUCGUAACAAGGUAGCAGUAGGGGAACCUGCGGCUGGAUCACCUCCUUUCUG